AGUCGAACGCAGUAGCAAUACUGAGUGGCAGACGGGUGAGUAACAUGUGGGAAUCUGCCUUGUGGUUCAGGACAACAUUGGGAAACCGAUGCUAAUACUGGAUAAGCCCUUACGGGGAAAGUUUUAAUGCCAUAAGAUGAGCCCGCAUUUGAUUAGUUAGUUGGUGAGGUAAUGGCUCACCAAGACAAUGAUCAAUAGCUGAUCUGAGAGGAUGAUCAGCCACACUGGGACUGAGACACGGCCCAGACUCCUACGGGAGGCAGCAGUGGGGAAUCUUGCACAAUGGAGGAAACUCUGAUGCAGCGAUGCCGCGUGAGUGAAGAAGGCCUUUGGGUUGUAAAGCUCUUUUGUAGGGGAAGAUAAUGACUGUACCCUAAGAAUAAGGUCCGGCUAACUUCGUGCCAGCAGCCGCGGUAAUACGAAGGGACCUAGCGUAGUUCGGAAUUACUGGGCGUAAAGCGCGCGUAGGCCGUUGAGUUAGUUAAUUGUGAAAUCCCAAAGCUUAACUUUGGAACUGCAAUUAAAACUGCUUGACUAGAGUUUGAUAGAGGAAAGCGGAAUACAUAGUGUAGAGGUGAAAUUCGUAGAUAUUAUGUAGAACACCAGUUGCGAAGGCGGCUUUCUGGAUCAACACUGACGCUGAGGCGCGAAAGUAUGGGUAGCAAAGAGGAUUAGAUACCCUCGUAGUCCAUACCAUAAACGAUGAUUGCUAGAUGUUGGAAAUUUAUUUUCAGUAUCGCAGCUAACGCAUUAAGCAAUCCGCCUGGGGAGUACGACCGCAAGGUUAAAACUCAAAUGAAUUGACGGGGACCCGCACAAGCGGUGGAGCAUGUGGUUUAAUUC
rnacentral:rRNA from 1 species